AUUGAACGCUGGCGGCAUGCUUUACACACGCAAGUCGAACGGUAACAGGUUAAGCUGACGAGUGGCGAACGGGUGAGUAAUGCAUCGGAACGUGCCCGAUCGUGGGGGAUAACGCAGCGAAAGCUGCGCUAAUACCGCAUACGAUCUGAGGAUGAAAGCGGGGGACCGUAAGGCCUCGCGCGAUCGGAGCGGCCGAUGUCAGAUUAGGUAGUUGGUGGGGUAAAGGCCCACCAAGCCGACGAUCUGUAGCUGGUCUGAGAGGACGACCAGCCACACUGGGACUGAGACACGGCCCAGACUCCUACGGGAGGCAGCAGUGGGGAAUUUUGGACAAUGGGCGAAAGCCUGAUCCAGCAAUGCCGCGUGCAGGAAGAAGGCCUUCGGGUUGUAAACUGCUUUUGUACGGAGCGAAAAGGUCCUUUCUAAUACAAGGGGGCUAAUGACGGUACCGUAAGAAUAAGCACCGGCUAACUACGUGCCAGCCGCCGCCGUAA
rnacentral:rRNA from 1 species